rnacentral:rRNA from 1 species
CCAGACUCGUACGGGAGGCAGCAGUAGGGAAUCUUCGGCAAUGGACGGAAGUCUGACCGAGCAACGCCGCGUGAGUGAAGAAGGUCUUCGGAUCGUAAAGCUCUGUUGUAAGAGAAGAACGAGUGUGAGAGUGGAAAGUUCACACUGUGACGGUAUCUUACCAGAAAGGGACGGCUAACUACGUGCCAGCAGCCGCGGUAAUACGUAGGUCCCGAGCGUUGUCCGGAUUUAUUGGGCGUAAAGCGAGCGCAGGCGGUUAGAUAAGUCCGAAGUUAAAGGCUGUGGCUUAACCAUAGUACGCUUUGGAAACUGUUUAACUUGUGUGCAGAAGGGGAGAGUGGAAUUCCAUGUGUAGCGGUGAAAUGCGUAGAUAUAUGGAGGAACACCGGUGGCGAAAGCGGCUCUCUGGUCUGUAACUGACGCUGAGGCUCGAAAGCGUGGGGAGCAAAUAGGAUUAGAUACCCUGGUAGUCCACGCCGUAAACGAUGAGUGCUAGGUGUUGGGUCCUUUCCGGGACUCAGUGCCGUAGUUAACGCAUUAAGCACUCCGCCUGGGGAGUACGACCGCAAGGUUGAAAUUCAAAGGAAUUGACGGGGGCCCGCUCAAG